UACAGAGGUCUCAAGCGUUGUUCGGAUUCAUUGGGCGUAAAGGGUGCGUAGGCGGCGCGGUAAGUCGGGUGUGAAAUUUCGAGGCUUAACUUCGAAACUGCAUUCGAUACUGCCGUGCUUGAGGACUGGAGAGGAGACUGGAAUUUACGGUGUAGCGGUGAAAUGCGUAGAUAUCGUAAGGAAGACCAGUGGCGAAGGCGGGUCUCUGGACAGUUCCUGACGCUGAGGCACGAAGGUCCAGGGGAGCAAAACGGG
rnacentral:rRNA from 1 species